AAUAGUUGAAUAAGAAUUACACUUACUUGGAGGUAGAAAUUAACCGGAAAUAUGAAGAACGAAAAAUCGACUGAGGCUUGCAAAAGCAAUGUCCUUAAGACAAUAUUUCCGGGCUGUCUACGGUGCAACAGUCACUCCCGGUAGUCUCCCAAGAUAUAACAGUCGGAUACUUCGAUAUUUGCACAAAUUCGAAGCCCACGGCGAACUAGAAACGUAGGAACAAAAUUUUGACAUAAGAGUUUUUAGGAAGAAAUUCACAAACGUCUUAUUAUCUCUUGUGCAAAACUGAUCAGGUUUUGUCUUAUUUAUAGAAAUUUAAGAGUCCUUUUGUGAAGGGAUAUGUUGUUUUGAAAAGAGUUAUUUCAUAAAUAGAUGUGUUGUUUGGAAAGAAACCCAUUCAUUCCAAAAUUCCAAACAUGCACCUAUUUGAAAUACCCUAAUUAUUUUAUUCAAUUAAAAAUUCCAACAAUCCCCCACAUGAAUAAAAUUAUUCUUCCAACCUCAUCUCAUGAGACCAUAUUGUCAAAAAAUUCUUUUAGGAAUAGUACGGCAUCGGGAUAGGUGAAAUAUUUCAUCUUGAACCUUCCCUAGUUAAAGUUUAUCGGAUUUACUUAGCCAAUCAGUGAAUUAUUUCAUCUUGAACUGUCGGCUGUUUGUGUAAACCAAGACAAUAAACUUAACACCGUACUAAACACGCGUGUUUCAAGUUCUCGGUUGUGUUCAUUUCGGCCCUGAACAUUCUCGGGUUCUGCGAGUGCUUUAGAGAAUUUAAGCCUUUAUAAGAAUUCUCAACGAGCCGACCCAGCUCACACUAACAUAGGUGACCGCAUCAAUAAAGAGUAUCCUACUAUACCCCACUUGUACUUGACAAGAUAUAGACGUCAUUAAAAGCAAUAACUUAACCUUUUUAAACGUCGUAGGUUGCACUUAUCGCAUCAAAGGAAUAGGAUGGAGUUAAACUCCUAAGUGCUACAUUUGGUUAAGUUACACAGAACUGGUUGUCCUAUUGAACUUGGUCCGUGGGAUCUCCAGUCGCCAAGUUAGGUUUCCGUAUAAGGUAACUUAGUUAUCUAGGCUUUAAACCUAUUCCCCUCGAUGCACAUUCAACUCUCACUAGAUAAACCUUUAUACUAAUUGGAUCCAAUAGGUAAUCUUCGGAUUUCACAAAAUCAAUAGAAAUUAUUCUAUUAGAGAGUAAAUGUUCUCACGGUAUGAUGUCUAUGACGAAUAUGUCGAGACUUACCAUUAUACAUAAAGUCAUAUGCUCUAUGCAUUGUUUAUUUGAUUAUCGCAAUAUAAGGCUGACACAAGUUUCAACCUUACUGGAAUAUCCUCCAAGAAAUUAUGAAGUCACUCAAUUUCUCUCGCUUUAUUCAAUUUCACAAUAGAUCUAGCUAUACAUAAUUGUAUGGAAGAUUUUCCAAGAAAUAAUAUCUCGUAAGGUGAAUACUUAAGCACACGUUGAUUUCGACUCAUCUUACUGGAAAGUGUAGUAUGCAUCACUAUAUCCUUCAAGGAUAAAUACAAGCAUAUUUGACUUAUAGCUAAAUACCCCCACAUUUCCAGAUAUUUAUCACUCAACUCCAUACAUUCCCAAUUACUCAUAAAGAUAAAGGUACUUUCUUGUACGAAACUCUAAUAAAUAUGUUACUAGACAUAUAAAGAGCUUCCUCAUAAAUUAUCCGAUAAAUCCAAUUGUAAUCGUGUGUAUUUUCACUUAAAUUAUAUCAACACCUUUAAAGGUGGCAGUCACUAUUUGUAAUUUGGAAAAUUUCCAAGAAAUAGCAACACAUCCUUAAGUGAACACAUAAUUACUCACUAAUUUUGAUUUUUAUUAAUCAAAAUUCUAAUUUGUCUCACUAUACUCCUCAAAAGUAUAUUCGAGAAUAUUCAACUUAUGUCACACUAUUACAUUUGUAAAUUAAAUUUCUCGAGCACUUUUAUUCAUGUAGUGUGAUUGAGAUAAUUUAAUAAAAUAGAAUGUCACUUGAUUUCAAGUUUUUCUCACCCCCACACUUUGAGAUAUUUGUAGCUCGAUUUGCUACUUUUCCAAAGAUAAUUUUCCUUGCGCGGAACUAUAUUAUACAAAGUCCCCCCACAAGUUGGUUGAUAAAACGAAUUCAACCGGGCCUUUGAAAACCGAUUUUACGAUUUGAUUGAUCUCAUUAAUGAGCCACAAUUUAUGUCCAUCUACUCAGAUUUUUGAACAUAUAUAUAUAUAUAUAAAUUCACAAGUACUUAAAUAUAAAUACUUUAAACUACUAUUUCCACAAAAUAGUAAAUAGCCACUUUGAAAUCAAAGUUUACGAUUACACACAUGUAAAUCCUUUAUCAUUUAGCAUAUGAUUUGAAAAUUAUAAAUCAAAAGUGGACAACAGAUAUACAUUCACACAAACAUGUUUUGGUCUUGUGAAACCAAGGAAUGAUCCACUAACAUUUGACAGAAGUUAUUCAUAUAUAUGCACAUUAGUUUUGAAGCAAAUCUAAAUGAAUGCAGUAAAUGAGUCAGAUUAAAAUUCUUCACAAAGAAUUCCACGUAGACGUACUGUCUUUUGAACCGACGCAUUGUUAUAUAAUUGGUUGAAAACACGAGUUUUUUCAACUCAAAAGUAAUUUACUAUUUACACAAUCAUUUAAAAACACAUUGUGCAUGAAGAAAUUUAAUAAUUAUAUGCCACGGCAUAAAAUGACAACCCACACGGAGUAAUUAAUUUAUCUACGCAGAUAUAAGUAAUGAAAUCUCCAAACACAAUAAAAAAUGUUUCCACCAAAGCAUAUAAAAUAUUUGAUUAAACUAAUGGUUGCACCCAAAUAUUUGCAACGUUCACUUGUAUUUGACAGAUAGCUCCUCAAAACAUACCCUUGUUUCUCGUGCAGAUAAUGCAUAUAGAAAUUAUAUAUGGCAUGAAAACGAGAAACAUAAUAUCAUCUAAAUAGAUAUUUUCAACAUUUGUAGAAAAACAUAAAUUAUUCCGAAUGAAACAAUUUAGGCUACUUACAAGACAUUUUUAUACUUCACAUAUAUCCACAAAUGUACUACACAUUAGAAAUUGGCCAAAUAAACAAUGAAAGUUAGAAUUUCACAAAUAAGUUUACACUGGUUUUCUAAAAACUAUUCAACACAUAAAUAGACAAACCAAAUUUUAAUUUGAUCAACGUUAUGUUUCCACGAAGUUUUAUCUCUAUUAUAUUUUAAUAUAUCAAUGUAUGCACGCAUAUAUGAAUUUGAAAAUAAUCUCCGCGUUGUGUUUUAAACAGAGGCAAAUAUUCUCAUUUGAGAACACAUUUGGAUUACGCAGAUUUUUUAUAUAUAACACAAAUAAAAAAAAUAUAUUGUCUUAAGAUUGUUGGUAUAAAUAUAACAAUCUGCGUAAAUAGUUGAAUAAGAAUUACACUUACUUGGAGGUAGAAAUUAACCGGAAAUAUGAAGAACGAAAAAUCGACUGAGGCUUGCAAAAGCAAUGUCCUUAAGACAAUAUUUCCGGGCUGUCUACGGUGCAACAGUCACUCCCGGUAGUCUCCCAAGAUAUAACAGUCGGAUACUUCGAUAUUUGCACAAAUUCGAAGCCCACGGCGAACUAGAAACGUAGGAACAAAAUUUUGACAUAAGAGUUUUUAGGAAGAAAUUCACAAACGUCUUAUUAUCUCUUGUGCAAAACUGAUCAGGUUUUGUCUUAUUUAUAGAAAUUUAAGAGUCCUUUUGUGAAGGGAUAUGUUGUUUUGAAAAGAGUUAUUUCAUAAAUAGAUGUGUUGUUUGGAAAGAAACCCAUUCAUUCCA
rnacentral:lncRNA from 1 species